rnacentral:lncRNA from 1 species
GAAACUAACCUUUCAUUUUUAAAUUUUUGAAAACAUUUCCAUAGGCACUUGAGUUAGAUCAAAGAGGAACUUGAGGACACUUUCUGUACGUGCUGUGAGUAGGGCUAAUGGUGUGUAUAUAUGUACAUUCUUCUCACCAGGAAAGACCAAGUGCAUGAUGAAGUCUUCAGACUGCGUCAUCAAGCAUGCUGGCGUGUACAGCACUGGCCUCGCCAUGGUGGGCGCAAUAUGUGACUUCUGCGAAGCAUGGGUUUGCCACGGGAGGAAGUGUCUUAGCACCCACGCCUGUGCCUGCCCACUCACAGAUGCAGAGUGUGUGGAGUGUGAGCGAGGGGUGUGGGACCACGGAGGCAGAAUAUUCAGCUGUUCAUUUUGCCAUAAUUUUCUCUGUGAAGAUGACCAGUUUGAGCAUCAGGCCAGCUGCCAAGUUUUAGAAGCGGAAACAUUUAAAUGUGUUUCCUGUAAUCGACUUGGCCAGCACUCAUGUCUCCGAUGUAAGGCUUGUUUCUGUGAUGAACAUACAAGGAGCAAAGUGUUUAAGCAAGAAAAAGGGAAACAACCUCCGUGCCCUAAAUGUGGGCAUGAAACGCAGGAGACAAAGGAUCUUAGCAUGUCAACACGCUCCUUGAAAUUUGGCAGGCAGACUGGAGGAGAAGAAGGAGAUGGAGCUUCUGGGUAUGAUGCUUACUGGAAGAACCUGUCGUCGGACAAGUAUGGAGAUACUGGAUACCGUGAUGAGGAGGAGGAGGAGGAGGAAGCAGAGGAUGAUGAAGAGGACGAUGGG